rnacentral:rRNA from 1 species
AACGAACGCUGGCGGCAUGCCUAACACAUGCAAGUCGAACGAGACCUUCGGGUCUAGUGGCGCACGGGUGCGUAACGCGUGGGAACCUGCCCUUAGGUUCGGAAUAACUCCCCGAAAGGGGUGCUAAUACCGGCUAAUGUCUUCGGACCAAAGAUUUAUCGCCUUUGGAUGGGCCCGCGUUGGAUUAGCUAGUUGGUAGGGUAAAAGCCUACCAAGGCGACGAUCCAUAGCUGGUCUGAGAGGAUGAUCAGCGACACUGGGACUGAGACACGGCCCAGACUCCUACGGGAGGCAGCAGUGGGGAAUAUUGGACAAUGGGCGAAAGCCUGAUCCAGCAAUGCCGCGUGAGUGAUGAAGGCCUUAGGGUUGUAAAGCUCUUUUACCCGGGAUGAUAAUGACAGUACCGGGAGAAUAAGCUCCGGCUAACUCCGUG